CAGCCGCCACGGUAAUACGUAGGUCCCGAGCGUUGUCCGGAUUUAUUGGGCGUAAAGCGAGCGCAGGCGGUUUGAUAAGUCUGAAGUUAAAGGCUGUGGUUCAACCAUAGUUCGCUUUGGAAACUGUCAAACUUGAGUGCAGAAGGGGAGAGUGGAAUUCCAUGUGUAGCGGUGAAAUGCGUAGAUAUAUGGAGGAACACCGGUGGCGAAAGCGGCUCUCUGGUCUGUAACUGACGCUGAGGCUCGAGAGCGUGGGGAGCGAACAGGAUUAGAUACCCCAGUAGUCCCUGUCUCUUAUACA
rnacentral:rRNA from 1 species